rnacentral:misc_RNA from 1 species
GAUGAAGAACGCAGCGAAAUGCGAUAAGUAGUGUGAAUUGCAGAAUUCAGUGAAUCAUCGAAUCUUUGAACGCAUAUUGCGCUCUCUGGUAUUCCGGAGAGCAUGCUUGUUUGAGUAUCAGUAAACACCUCAACUCCCUUUCUUCUUGAAAUGGAGCUGGACUUGAGUGAUCCCAACGCUUUAUUCAUAAAGUGGCGGGUUACUUGAAAUGCAGGUGCAGCUGGACUUUUCUCUGAGCUAUAAGCAUAUCUAUUUAGUCUGCCUCAAAACAGAUUAUUACCUUUGCUGCAGCUAACAUAAAGGAGAUUAGUUCUUGUGCUGACUGAUGCAGGAUUCACAAAGACCGCUUCGGCUGUCUUUGUAAACUCGAUCUCAAAUCAAGUAAGACUACCCGCUGAACUUAAGCAUAUCAAUAAGCGGAGGA